GCCGGCCUAGCUCAAUUGGUAGAGCAACUGACUUGUAAUCAGUAGGUUGGGGGUUCAAGUCCUCUGGGCGGCACCA
rnacentral:tRNA from 1 species